UUGGACAACAUGAUGAUUUCAUAGUUCAACAGAUUAUCAGUGAAGUCAACAUUUCGCCCCUAUCUGAUUGUUCCA
rfam:Branchiostoma floridae genomic scaffold BRAFLscaffold_261, whole genome shotgun sequence.